rnacentral:rRNA from 1 species
GACGAACGCUGGCGGCGUGCUUAACACAUGCAAGUCGAGCGGUAAGGCCCUUUCGGGGGUACACGAGCGGCGAACGGGUGAGUAACACGUGGGUGACCUGCCCUCAGCUCUGGGAUAAGCCUGGGAAACUGGGUCUAAUACUGGAUAUGACUCCACGGUGCAUGUCGUGGGGUGGAAAGCCUUGUGCGGCUGAGGAUGGGCCCGCGGCCUAUCAGCUUGUUGGUGGGGUGANGGCCUACCAAGGCGACGACGGGUAGCCGGCCUGAGAGGGCGACCGGCCACACUGGGACUGAGACACGGCCCAGACUCCUACGGGAGGCAGCAGUGGGGAAUCUUGCGCAAUGGGCGAAAGCCUGACGCAGCGACGCCGCGUGUGUGAAGAAGGCCUGCGGGUU